GAUGAACGCUGGCGGCGUGCCUAAUACAUGCAAGUCGAGCGAACAGACGAGGAGCUUGCUCCUCUGACGUUAGCGGCGGACGGGUGAGUAACACGUGGAUAACCUACCUAUAAGACUGGGAUAACUUCGGGAAACCGGAGCUAAUACCGGAUAAUAUAUUGAACCGCAUGGUUCAAUAGUGAAAGACGGUUUUGCUGUCACUUAUAGAUGGAUCCGCGCCGCAUUAGCUAGUUGGUAAGGUAACGGCUUACCAAGGCAACGAUGCGUAGCCGACCUGAGAGGGUGAUCGGCCACACUGGAACUGAGACACGGUCCAGACUCCUACGGGAGGCAGCAGUAGGGAAUCUUCCGCAAUGGGCGAAAGCUUGACGGAGCAACGCCGCGUGAGUGAUGAAGGUCUUCGGAUCGUAAAACUCUGUUAUUAGGGAAGAACAAAUGUGUAAGUAACUAUGCACGUCUUGACGGUACCUAAUCAGAAAGCCACGGCUAACUACGCG
rnacentral:rRNA from 1 species